UAUAUAUUAAUUUAUUUGGUUCCAAACGCUAAGAUAACAAGAAGCAAAAUUUGUACCAAGUUUGAAUUUAUAGUCGAGAUGGUUUUUCAAUUAUCUAACUAAAUUAUUUUUGAACAGAUAACUGGGAAUCAGAGGCUAAGAGCUUCUCAAAUACUUUUAACUUAUAAACUUUGGUGCAUUAGUGGAGUUUUUACCUAGAUUUUAGCUUUUAGGCUAUAAUUUCAGACAGGCGCAGCCUCUAUUGGUUUUCAAAAAUAUGCAAUGUUGUUGCAAAUGGGACCAUGAUAUAUUAAGGUGUUAUAUGCAAGGCAGAUUUGUCACUAUGUUCCUCAAAGAAAGCAUCAAUCACACAUAUACAUGUUAUUUAGUUGGCUUAACAUAAAGACCUAAACACAAGAAAAUUUCACAAGUGAGAAUGUAUUGUCUUGUAACUGUUGUAAGGUAGCAUCGGUGUAGUCCCAAUAUCUGGACUCUAGAUCAAAUUCAACUAACUUUAUUUUUCUAAUAAAGGCCAAAGUAGAAAGUUUGAACUGUAAGCAUCGAAUGCAUUGAUAUAGCAUUUCCAAAUUGGCCUUUAAUCAGAUACAUGGAAGUCCUACAGACUAUGACCAAUAAUCGAAUCACAUUUGAGGCAAGUAGUUCAAUCGAUCAUCCAGAGCUAGAUUACAUUUGUAUAGCACUAAUCAAACCCACAUUCUGAUCUAGGAUCAAGUAUCACAAGUUCACAACAAUUGGCGGGAAUCACCAUGCAGAAGGACAACAUAGGUCAAAAACCAAAACAAUACUAAUAACUAUUUGAAGCACAUCCAUGACCCAACCUAGGUCACCCUCUUGUCUAACCCAAUUCCACAAAAGAAAACCUAAAGCACAAAUAGAACUACACUUCAAAAAGAGUCAAAUCUAGUCAGCUUAAUUUACUCACAUGUCAGUCACUAUACUAGAUUAAAAAUUCACUCGCACAUAACACAGAGCUAAAAGGGGGAAACGAAGCAAACACAUAGGUUCAAUAUCAUAAAAACAAAACAAAAACUUUGUCUUGUCAGUUCAAAGUGCAAUUGAGCUUGUUAGUCCCUGAUUCCGCCUCCAUCCCCUCAACUACUAACAAUAACUGAAACAAUUACCAUCAACUCAGGUGGCUUUUGGUUCAUGGUUAAUGAGCCCGGUUAACGGGAACCGGAACCUCAAACCCAUGUGUUGGUGUUUAGGUUUGCAAUUUUGUUAUAUGGAAUGGGAACCUCAUUCCCACUUGGUGGGUAAAUCAUUCCUUCAACUCCCCUUGACAUACCAAUUCUCAUACCCUCCAUUCCCAUCCCCUCAUUCUCAUUCCCGAUACCCAUUCCAACCUGUUAUCAAACGUCCCCUUAAUGUAUACUGCAUUUCUUACUACUAUUUAACUAAAAUUAAAACCUAAAUAAGUAAAGACUAACUUCAACUAAAAUCUGAUGACAAAUCUAUUCAGAUCACAGCUUAAUUUACAAUGA
rnacentral:lncRNA from 1 species